rnacentral:lncRNA from 1 species
UCAUUUAGGCGAGACAUAGAUUUUGCGCUCAAUCCUAAAAUCCACGGAGUACGCUGCAACCCUCCCGGCGCGUGGCCGGCGAGGGCUUUGCAUCCGCGGCGAAGGGGAGCGAGAAGGAGGCCGCGCGCUUCUUCUCGUUCCUCCCUCACCGUCGGCGUCCGUCCCAUUCCAGGUGGAUCGAUCCGGUCCGGUUCGGUUCGGUGGAGACCGGUCUCCCCUCGCCCAUCCCGCGCUACCGUUUACUGGCCACCAGGCAGUGGCCGUCACCGUCGCCGUCGCCGUCGUCCAUUGCCAUUACCGGCUAGCCUGGUAAUUUCUGAUACACCCCUUCCCUCAGAUUCCUCCCUCCGCACAGUGCUCGCUUCUCUUGCAUUGUUCCGCUGAAUUGAAUUAGCUGCAGUUUGCUGUUGCUCUAGGUAUACGAUCAGGAUUGCUGGCUGUCACUGCACCAUUGAUCCCUUUAUCAACAUUGUCCUCUUGGUGAUCGAUUCCCUUAUUUCAGUUGUUAAAUAUUGAUGACUACCUAUGCAGUGGUGGUCUUUGAGAUCCUCGCAGAAAUUAUUGUCACCAGUGCCUAUGUUGUUUGAUCAUUGAUAUAUCUUAACGCUUAGCUUAUAAAACUAUAACAGUGGAUCAAACCGGAAAAUCAACACAUAAGAUCUUGAAUGGUUUGUACACCUGUUUAUUUUUUUUGACCGCGGCAAAUUGUUUCCUUAUCUUUAUAAACACUAGUAAAUGUGUCCGUGCUUUGCUACGGGUGACAAUGCAGUUAAACGAAUUGAACAAAUGAUUAAGUUACAUAAAUGGUUCAACGUCUUUGUGAAGUCUGAAAUGUUCUGGUAAAUGUGAUGUCUAUUUCAGUGUUGUUGUCUUUAGCAUGAACCCUUGAAAAGAUGUGGAGGGCAGUAGGGGAAAUGACAGAUACUACUGGAAGUCUGGAAUAAUUCUUCUUUGUCUCAUAUAUUAUCUUGCUCUCUCACAGCAUGUAACAAGUAUUGGCACAAUAAAGCUACUGGAGAAUUCAAAAUUUCAAAUGGUCCUGAUUGACCUCCAAGAAACAGCAAGAGGAAGCACCGACUAACAAAGUAACAAGUAACAUGCUGCAAUAUCAUCUGAACCAAAGAUUAUAGCAUUGACGUUGGACGCCUUCAGUUGUCAUGGAAGCUUUGUUUGUACGCCAUCACCGUGUAACUUAAUAAGGGCCUACAUGACAGCUUGGAAUCUGGGACAAACAUAUAUGUAUAACCUCGUCCAAUAUGUGGCAGUUAGUUUGCAAGUGAGUUAACAGAGGGAUUGUAGCGAAUUAAAUUUGUGAAUAAUCACAUUAACAAUAUGCUAAACAAAGUUCUAGCUUGUUGUUUGUCCAAGUAUUGUUGUUCUGUUUAUUAGUCCUUUUUGGACCCUGUUUUUGUGUACUGGGCCAUUGGCUACUCCUUCAGUAAAAUCGCAGCAGCUCUCCUGCUGUCUUUAAAAAAAAAAGAAGUUGAACACAAGCAGUUUGCUACUCAAGUUUUCCUGGGGUUUUUUCUUGUUGCAUCGCCAAACUUUUGUCCAACCCAGUAUCCUUUUGCUCCUCUACAUGAGUAAAUGAGUAGUUCAGUAGUUCGGUAAGCAUUCUGAUGGCUGCUACUCCAG